rnacentral:rRNA from 2 species
UGGCGAAGAGGUCACACCCGUUCCCAUCCCGAACACGGAAGUUAAGCUCUUCAGCGCCGAUGGUAGUCGGGGGCUUCCCCCUGCAAGAGUAGGACGCCGCCGGGC